GAGUUUGAUCCUGGCUCAGAUUGAACGCUGGCGGCAGGCCUAACACAUGCAAGUCGAACGGUAACAGGACGCUAGGAUCCCUUCGGGGUGACUUUGUCGCUGAAAAGCGGCGGACGGGUGAGUAACGCGUAGGAAUCUACCUGGUAGUGGGGGACAACGUAUGGAAACGUACGCUAAUACCGCAUACGCCCUACGGGGGAAAGCGGGGGACCUUCGGGCCUCGUGCUAUCAGAUGAGCCUGCGUUAGAUUAGCUAGUUGGUAGGGUAAAGGCCUACCAAGGCGACGAUCUAUAGCUGGUCUGAGAGGAUGAUCAGCCACACUGGAACUGAGACACGGUCCAGACUCCUACGGGAGGCAGCAGUGGGGAAUAUUGCGCAAUGGGGGAAACCCUGACGCAGCCAUGCCGCGUGUGUGAAGAAGGCCUUAGGGUUGUAAAGCACUUUCAAUUGGGAGGAAAGGUUGUACAUUAAUAGUGUGCAACCGUGACGUUACUCGCAGAAGAAGCACCGGCUAAUUCAGUGCCAGCAGCCGCGGUAAUACUGAAGGUGCAAGCGUUAAUCGGAAUUACUGGGCGUAAAGCGCGCGUAGGCGGCUUGGUCAGUCAGAUGUGAAAGCCCCGGGCGCAGCUAACGCGAUAAGUUGACCACCUGGGGAGUACGGCCGCAAGGUUAAAACUCAAAUGAAUUGACGGGGGCCCGCACAAGCGGUGGAGCAUGUGGUUUAAUUCGAUGCAACGCGAAGAACCUUACCUGGUCUUGACAUCCUACAAACUUACUAGAGAUAGUUUGGUGCCUUCGGGAACGUAGUGACAGGUGCUGCAUGGCUGUCGUCAGCUCGUGUUGUGAAAUGUUGGGUUAAGUCCCGUAACGAGCGCAACCCUUAUCCUUAUUUGCCAGCAUAAUGGUGGGGACUCAUGGGAGACUGCCGGGGACAACUCGGAGGAAGGCGAGGACGAUGUCAAGUCAUCAUGCCCCUUAUAUCCAGGGCUGCACGCAUGCUACAAUGGGCGGUACAGUGGGCCGCGAUCUCGCAAGAGUGAGCCAAUCCCUCAAAGCCGUCCCCAGUUCGGAUUGAAGUCUGCAACUCGACUUCAUGAAGCCGGAGUCGCUAGUAAUCGUGGAUCAGCUAUGCCACGGUGAAUACGUUCUCGGGGCUUGUACACACCGCCCGUCACAUCACGGAAGUCGGUAACACCCGAAGUCAGUGGCCUAACCCCUCGGGGAAGGAGCUGCCUAAGGUGGGAUUGGUAACUGGGAUGAAGUCGUAACAAGGUAGCCGUACGGGAACGUGCGGCUGGAUCACCUCCUUU
rnacentral:rRNA from 1 species